rnacentral:rRNA from 1 species
ACAUGCCACUAACGAAGCAGAGAUGCAUUAGGUGCCCGUAAGGGAAAGUGGACACAGGUGCUGCAUGGCUGUCGUCAGCUCGUGUCGUGAGAUGUUGGGUUAAGUCCGCAACGAGCGCAACCCUUGCCAUUAAUGCCAUCAUUUAGUUGGGCACUUUAAUGGGACUGCCGGUGACAAACCGGAGGAAGGUGGGGAUGACGUCAAGUCCUCAUGGCCCUUAUGGCCAGGGCUUCACACGUAAUACAAUGGUCGGUACAGAGAGUUGCCAAGCCGCGAGGUGGAGCUAAUCUCAGAAAGCCGAUCGUAGUCCGGAUUGUUCUCUGCAACUCGAGAGCAUGAAGUCGGAAUCGCUAGUAAUCGCGGAUCAGCAUGUCGCGGUGAAUACGUUCCCGGGCCUUGUACACACCGCCCGUCACACCAUGGGAGUGGGUUUUACCAGAAGUAGUUAGUCUAACCGUAAGGGGGACGAUUACCACGGUAGUAUUCAUGACUGGGGUGAAGUCGUAACAAGGUAAGCGUAGUGCU